ensembl:snRNA U4 U4 spliceosomal RNA
AGCUUUGCUCAGUGGCAGUAUCGUAGCCAUUGGGGUUUAUCUGAGGUGCGAUUAUUGCUAAUUGGAUUUUAAUUCAUUUAAGCAAGUAUGUUUGGGCCAGAUAUGCUUACGAUGGAUCUCUUUUGAAAGA